GAUGAACGCUAGCGGCAGGCCUAAUACAUGCAAGCCGAACGGCAAGAACUUUAGCAAUAGAGUUCCUAGAGUGGCGUAAGGGUGCGUAACACGUAUGCAAUCUGCCCUCAACAGGAGGAUAGCUCCCCGAAAGGGGAAGUUAAGACUCCAUAAGAUCAUUUAUGGCAUCAUGAGAUGAUUAAACUACCAGGGGUUGAGGAUGAGCAUGCGCAUGAUUAGUUAGUUGGCGGGGUAACGGCCCACCAAGACGAUGAUCAUUAGGGGAACUGAGAGGUUGA
rnacentral:rRNA from 1 species